GUGGGGAAUCUUGCGCAAUGGGCGAAAGCCUGACGCAGCGACGCCGCGUGAGUGAUGAAGGCCUUCGGGUUGUAAAGCUCUGUGGGGAGAGACGAAUAAGUGCAGUCUAAUACAUUGCAUGAUGACGGUAUCUCCUUAGCAAGCACCGGCUAACUCUGUGCCAGCAGCCGCGGUAAGACAGAGGGUGCAAACGUUGUUCGGAAUUACUGGGCGUAAAGCGUGUGUAGGCGGUCUGCUAAGUCGGGUGUGAAAGCCCUGGGCUCAACCCAGGAAGUGCACUCGAAACUGGCAGGCUAGAGUACUGGAGAGGUUGGUGGAAUUCUCGGUGUAGAGGUGAAAUUCGUAGAUAUCGAGAGGAACACCGGUGGCGAAGGCGGCCAACUGGACAGAUACUGACGCUGAGACACGAAAGCGUGGGGAGCAAACAGGAUUAGAUACCCUUGUAGUCC
rnacentral:rRNA from 1 species